rnacentral:rRNA from 1 species
UACGGGGGGAGCAAGCGUUGUUUGGAUUUACUGGGCGUAAAGGGCGCGUAGGCGGCCACCGCAAGUCGACUGUGAAAUCUCCGGGCUUAACCCGGAAAGGUCAGCCGAUACUGCGGGGCUAGAGUGCAGAAGGGGCAACUGGAAUUCUCGGUGUAGCGGUGAAAUGCGUAGAUAUCGAGAGGAACACCUGCGGCGAAGGCGGGUUGCUGGGCUGACACUGACGCUGAUGCGCGAAAGCCAGGGGAGCGAACGGG